CCUACGGGCGGCAGCAGUGAGGAAUAUUGGUCAAUGGGCGAGAGCCUGAACCAGCCAAGUCGCGUGAAGGAUGAAGGAUCUAUGGUUUGUAAACUUCUUUUAUAUGGGAAUAAAGUGAGGAACGUGUUCCUUUUUGUAUGUACCAUAUGAAUAAGCAUCGGCUAACUCCGUGCCAGCAGCCGCGGUAAUACGGAGGAUGCGAGCGUUAUCCGGAUUUAUUGGGUUUAAAGGGUGCGUUGGUGGGUAAUUAAGUCAGUGGUGAAAGUUUGUGGCUCAACCAUAAAAUUGCCGUUGAAACUGGUUGUCUUGAGUAUAGUUGAGGUAGGCGGAAUGCGUGGUGUAGCGGUGAAAUGCAUAGAUAUCACGCAGAACUCCGAUUGCGAAGGCAGCUUACUAAACUAUAACUGACACUGAAGCACGAAAGUGUGGGGAUCAAACAGGAUUAGAUACCCUAGUAGUC
rnacentral:rRNA from 1 species